GUAACUUGUAGUGUAGUGAAGACAAGUGACGAAAAUGAGUGAAGAGAAGAAAAAAAUUGUUCUUUGUGGUGGUGGAAUGGUGCUCGGGUGAGAUGGAAUGGUAGACAAAAAGAGAGAGGGAGGUGAUAUAAAUGACGAGGGUAUUUGGAGAUAACAAAAAAGUGGGCAUAUGCUAAUGUAAUAAUUAGUCAAAUUCACUCUUUCAAUUGUAAUACUAAUCCAUUUUUGUAACUGAUUAUAUUUCGUUCAUUUUUGUAAUACUAAUCCCUAAACCCUUGCAAAUUCACUCUUUCAAUUGUAUUUCGUUCAUUUUCGUAAAUGAUUUGCUGAUGUAAUACUAAUCCAUGACUAAACAAGUGUAAUCUAUAACGUCAUGACUGAAUUAUUAUGCUAUGAAAUCCUACUAGUUGCCAGCUGCAUUCUCAUUCUCUCUCACUUCACUUCACUUGCCGUUCUUCACUCCUCUUUCCAAUUCUAGAGAAAGAGAGCGAACUGUGGAGGAAAGAAGUUGAGAAGAUGCUUCUCAAAAAACACCCAACAACAGAUGCUCGCUAAUUUGGCUCCUCUCUCCUCAAUGGGACGGAGGCUGACAUUCACAAACUCAUAAACUGAAAACACAGAUCAACAGGCCAAUGUGAGAUUUAUGAUGUAAUGUUCAAAAAGACAAGGCAAAGAGAUUAGAAAAAAGGAAUAAGGAAACAUGAACAAGAGCUCAAGGAAGAGAAAAAAACAAGAGAUUCUUAACUCUUCAAUGUCCAAUGUGGAGCUACAAUCAGAAUCCGAUCAAAAUAUUCUUUUGAUCUGCUGAAGCUUCAUACUCCAGGUUCUACUGUCCAAGUAGUAAAGGGAAUUUUGCAGAAUUUGAUGGAUGGAUGGAUAUGGUCAAUAGCAAAAAAGAUAGGUAUAUGAUGCAAAACUACAUAUUAAGGUAGGAAAAAACAUACUACUUAGAUUUUGUGAAAUAUUGAGUUCACCAGUUGAAAUAAUGAAACUGUAAAUUAGAUAACAUUUGAUGGUUUUAAUAAGGUACUUAAAAUUAUUGCAAACUAAUGAAAUAUUUAAGCUUAAUAAUAUUACCCUUUGUGCAUAUGCUCAAGAUAGGUAGAUUGUCUAGCACUACUAUUCCAUUCAGAUUUGCUUCUCUUGUUGCAGACAUAAAUAGCAUUCGAGAAGCCAAUCCGAGAAUUGUAUGCUGCAGGCUGUUUUAUGAUCUUAAAAGACUGUAAUGUCUUAAAAGACAACAUCCCCAAAAGAUUUUUGCUUUUAGGUGAUAACUGAGAUAAAGCUUGAAAAUUAUGUCUUGUUUCAGGUAAUUGUGGGAUUUCUUGUUUGGGAAAGAGAACUUACCGCCUAGAUGUCAAUGAAAUUUUUGCAGAGGUAACGAGAUAAAUGUUAAUUGUCAAAACCAUUAUUAGUUGGUAUGAUCCACCCUUUCUUUCUUUAGCUCCCAAGAUUUAAUUGCUUUUUUUUUUCCUCUAUGAAAAGGUGGUACUUUACAAAUAGUAGUAUGUGAUAAAAUGAAGUACAUCAAUAAAGAUUAAACUUCCAAAGUAUGUGUACUUUGCAUAUCAAUCUUCACAUAAUUCAUCUACUUGAUUAUAUUUUCUGUCAUAUUGUUCAUCUCCUAUCAGUUCUGAGCAUGUCAAGUUUUACUUUGACCAUGUUUUUGUAGUGUUGAACUUCACUUUGGAACUUUUCAAAGACAUAGUAGCUUUAAGAAAGAAAGUUUAUGGCACUUUGUUUCUUUUUAGGAUACAAAAGGUGUACAUGAUAACAUGUAGCUGAAAUUUGUCACUUGAGUGAAGAAGGCAUGAUCCAUCAACUUUUUUUUUGUGUAAAAGCGGAUUUAUGUAUAUAUACAUAUACUUAGCCAUCCUUUAUCAUUGAGUUUAGUAGGUAAAGAGAAAACUACUUGUAGAAAUAAGUGAAGCUGGGUACUGUUCUUUUUUUCCUUUCUGGGUGAGCUUUAUCAAGGUUCUUUGCUGAAAUUUGUUGGAUCAAAGCAUUUCUUAUCAGGCUAUUUUCUACUUAAGAACUGCUUGAAUUUGGUGGCCUUUUUAUGUUUAUGGUAACUGUUAAUUGUGGGCUUCUUUUUCUUCUAUCAUCCAACUUUUAUCCAUAUCUGAGAAGACUUUGUAAACCAUUUUUUGUUCUUAGAAGGUUCUAUUUUAUGUGUGUCUAACAUUUAUCAGUUUAUAUGGAAAAACUAAAAAUAACAAUCA